rnacentral:miRNA from 1 species
GGUGCUCACUCGUCCUUCU